CAGGGGUGGACAUGGGGUGGGGGCUUCAUGGACAAGGGCCCACUUCCAAGAAGAGUUCAUCAGGGGACAGCAGCCAGCCAAAAGCCCAGAUCACCAGACAAGACCACAGUGAUCAGUCCCAGCUCAAAUCAAGGUCCAUACUGAUGUGCAGAAUAUGUCAGUGAGAGGGAAGCGUGUCUGGAAGGGAGAUAACUGCAGAAGAGCUCUGUAACAAAGCAAAUAAUGUCAUCAGAUUGGGGAAACUUUCUCUGCAGAGAUCUAUUUGGAUCUCCGGUCCCCAUGGCAAUAGCGUCCCAAGCUCUGAAAAUAACAACGUGCACAGCUAUUUUGACUGAAGGAACCAGACGACACACGCGCAUAAGGCUAAGCAGAUGGGGACGUGCCUUCAGCCAGAGGGUUUCGUUUCAGUCAUGAAGCUCUCUCUGCCUUUAUGUUGAACCUUGGCUUCACCCUGCAAGGCUGCCUCAAGGAUGGAUGGACCAUCAAAGCACCACGUGGACCUUAUCUCCUGGGCACCUGGAGCCCAUCCCUACGUGAUCCCUGGAGCAGGAGCAGCAGGGCUGGAGGAUGCUGAGGCAGGUGGAGCUGCACAAAG